rnacentral:rRNA from 1 species
UGACCUCGGAUGCAGGUAG